CUUGGUCAUUUAGAGGAAGUAAAAGUCGUAACAAGGUUUCCGUAGGUGAACCUGCGGAAGGAUCAUUAUUGUACAAUGGAGGUGCUGGGGUUGUCGCUGACCUUUAAAAGGGUCGUGCACACCUCGGUGCUUUCAACCAUAAAUCCAUUUCACCCCUUUGUGCAUCACCGCGUGGGGGUCCCUUUUAGUUAGUUCUGAAGGGGGCUUUCACGUUUUUACAAACACACCCUUUUAAUGCAAUAUGUAGAAUGUCUUACUUUUUGCGAUCACACGCAAUCAAUACAACUUUCAACAACGGAUCUCUUGGCUCUCGCAUCGAUGAAGAACGCAGCGAAAUGCGAUACGUAAUGUGAAUUGCAGAAUUCAGUGAAUCAUCGAAUCUUUGAACGCACCUUGCGCCCUUUGGCAUUCCGAAGGGCACACCCGUUUGAGUGUCGUGACAUCCUCAAACCUUCUUAGUUUCUUGACUGAGAAGGCUUUGGACUUUGGAGGCUUUUGCUGAACCUUCCCUUUGUUGAAGCCAGCUCCUCUUAAAUGAAUUAGUGGGGUCUGCUUUGCCUAUCCUUGACGUGAUAAGAUGCUUCUACGUCUUGGGUUUUGCACUGUUUGCUCUAGAUCCUGCUUCUAACCGUCUUAUAGAAGACAAAUGGUCGACUUGACCCACAAACCU
rnacentral:rRNA from 1 species